rnacentral:pre_miRNA from 1 species
UAUAUACUCCCUCCGUCCGGAAAUACUUGUCAUCAAAAUGGAUAAAAGGGAUGUAUCUAGAUGUAUUUUAGUUUUAGAUACAUCCCUUUUUGUCCAUUUUGAUGACAAGUAUUUUCGGACGGAGAGAGUAUAAU